UAUGUACACACUGUUAUAUCUGGUAAAAUAUAUUAGUGCAAAGCUGCAGCCUUCCUGUGAUCCCACCAACUCAUUUUAAUAUGACAAUAAUGUUAAAACAUAGCUUCUUAUUCUGAAAUGAACACAAGUAAAUAUGUUUUAAUGUAUAUGUAAACAUUAUGGAACUUGGUUAUUUUAACUUGUAUCUCUGCAAAAUGUGUGUAUUUUAUAAUAGACUGGGGGCUGACAUUCUCAUCUGAGAAUUCUUGGUGAUAGAACAUGAUUUGAAUUACAGCUGUAUUCUGAUUGGAUGAAAUCAAUCAAGCAUCCAAUCAGAAAACAGCUCAAUAUAAAACAUGUCUCCUUCCAUUUUGUUUCUCCCUGCAGCUCAUUGCAUGCUUUCUCAAAAUGAAGCCCUACUUGCUAAAGUAAAAUGCACAGCAGGUAACUUUCACAAUGUUUACAUAUUUAUGUGAUACUUCUCCCCUUAAACAGGGGAGUUUGAAUAGACAAUACAUGAUGCGUUUUGUAUCAGAAUCAUUCAUUUAAAGUGAUUAUCCGUUCACUCUUUCCAAUACUCACGUAUGGGUUUUAUUUACUACAGACUGAGUUAUGGCACAUCCAAGUUGCAAAGUUUAGCUGCAUUGCACUCAUAAUGAGGUAAACAUGGCUGCUCUUUGUAUCAGAGCAAUGUGUCCCACACCAUUCUGUCACAUAGUGGGUUAAAUAUUGCCACCUUGCACAGUACAUGUGGAAAAAAACCCAUACACAAAAGAAAUGCAUAGUGCGCGUAUGUAUACAUCUACGUAAAUAAUUAAUAUAUAUAUAUAUUUAAAUACAUCUUAAUUUGUAGAUUUUAUUAUUCACACACUUUGCGCCACCCUGUUUUUUUACACAGAAUCUUCUUCGUAAAUGUAAUAUAUGAAGCCUCUUGUGGGGUUUACCUAUUUUUAUACUCUGAUAUAUUUGGCAGCACAAUCACCUUACAGUGAGAAACCUAACAAGCGCUUCAUAGUUUAAUAUUUGGAAUGUAGGUUUCACAAGUCACUUGUAGUAAUGUGCCUCUUUGUCCAGGCUAUUAGCAUGACAUUAUUCCAGCCAAACAAUAAGCAUUUUUUUUUAAGUAUGUAUGGAACUGCACUCACUCCCAUCAGUCAGAGCCAGGGUGCUUUCUGUACCGGAACCAAACACCAAAUUCCCAGAUUAGUAGAAUAAAAUAAAAGAGGUCCAGGCACUCCUUGGUUCAAGACAGGCACUUUAUUGGAACCACAGG